rnacentral:rRNA from 1 species
GAUGAACGCUGGCGGCGUGCCUAAUACAUGCAAGUCGAGCGAACGGACGAGAAGCUUGCUUCUCUGAUGUUAGCGGCGGACGGGUGAGUAACACGUGGAUAACCUACCUAUAAGACUGGGAUAACUUCGGGAAACCGGAGCUAAUACCGGAUAAUAUUUUGAACCGCAUGGUUCAAAAGUGAAAGACGGUCUUGCUGUCACUUAUAGAUGGAUCCGCGCUGCAUUAGCUGGUUGGUAGGGUAACGGCUUACCAAGGCAACGAUGCAGAGCCGACCUGAGAGGGGGAUCGGCCACACGGGAGCGGAGACGCGGUCCAGGGGCCUACGGGAGGCAGCAGUAGGGAACCUUCGGCAGUGGGCGAAAGCAUGACGGAGCAACGCGGCGUGAGUGAUGAAGGUCUUCGGAUCGUAAAACUCUGUUAUUAGGGAAGAACAGAUGUGUAAGUAACUGUGCAGAUCUUGACGGUACCUAAUAAGAAAGCAACGGCUAACUACGU